rnacentral:tRNA from 1 species
GCCCUCUUGGUCCAAUGGCUAAGACGCCGGAUUGUCUAUCCGGAAAUGAGAGUUCGAUUCUCUCAGGGGGCG